rnacentral:rRNA from 1 species
ACGAACUGUGCGAACGUUAUUCGGAAUCACUGGGCUUACAGGGUGCGUAGGCGGCUUGUUAAGUAGGGUGUGAAAGCCCCCGGCUCAACCGGGGAAUUGCGCCCUAAACUGGCGAGCUGGAGUGAGAUAGGGGUGUGUGGAACUUCCGGUGGAGCGGUGAAAUGUGUUGAUAUCGGAAGGAACGCCGGUGGCGAAAGCGACACACUGGAUCUUGUCUGACGCUGAGGCACGAAAGCCAGGGGAGCGAACGGGA